GACGAACGCUGGCGGCGUGCUUAACACAUGCAAGUCGAACGGACAGGCCAUGCGCUUGUUGGGUGCUCGAUUGGCGAAGGCGUGAGUAACACGCGUGUAUCCCGCCCUUGACUUUGGGAUAAAUCCAGGAAAAUGGGGCUAAUACAGCGUAGGAUCUAUUGAAGCGUGGGGGGGGUUGGAAAGAUUCGGCUGUUGGGGAUGGACUAGAGGCUUAUCAGCUUGUUGGUGGGGUAGGGGCUUACAAAGGCUGUGACGGGUAGCCCGCCUGAGAGGGUGACCAGCCACCUUGGGACUGCGAUACGGCCCAGUCGCCUACGUGCGGCAGCGGUGGGGAAUCUUGCGGAGUGGGCGCACGCCAGUGGCGGAAACGCCGCGUUCGGGAUGCUGGGUUUCGGGUUGUAAACCGAUUUCGACUGAGCCGAAGACGGAGUGACGGUAAUUGGUAAAGAAGCACCGGCUAACUACGUG
rnacentral:rRNA from 1 species